AGUUCCAGACAUAUCAUUACUUUUUAACCUGAGAUGGCAAACUAGAGGUUUUAAAAAGUCCUGAAUAACUGGUAAGCAUUUUGUUUUAUUUGGCAAGCUCUAAAUUGUUUAUUUAUGGUAUUUAUGCAAUUCAAAUUACAGUCGGUAUGUUAAAAAUAUACUGAUAUGAAAACUGUUGCUAUGGUCUUGGCAUUAAAUGAAAAUGCUUGGUUACUGAUCUUUUCGACUCCAUAUUUCAAGUUAAACCUUGCGGCAACUGUUCUUCAUGUAACACUGCAAACUAUAAUUAGCAUUAUUUUGAUAUGUCGUUAGUUAAUGACGCCAUAUUACGUGUGAUGCCACAAUGUUUCCUUUAAAACCUCAUGCCGAUAUCUCACUGAUAAAAGAUUUUCACUGAAAUACAUGUAAAAAACAUUUUUUCUCAAAUAGAAUUAUGUGAAAGAACAAGUUUUGAAAAUUUGCACUUCAUUGCACUCUAAUUAUAUGAUUCAAAUGACUUUUACAGUAGUUUAUAGUGGUUUCUACAGUAUAAAAUACAAGGUUUCCACUGGCUAGAAUAAUUAAGUAUUUUGGUGUUUUUUUUAUGAAAUCUUCAUUUUUGCAUAAUUUCUCUGUCAAAAUGCACUUUUAGGCACCAGAAAAUUUUAUUGAAUGCUUUAACAGGGUCUGUGUGUUGUAAUUUAAGGUUACAUUCAGAUGUUUUGUCCUUCUUUUGACUAGUGAAGGUAUACUGGAAGAAAUUAAUUAUGCAUACACUUUGUAUUCAAAAUAAAUAAAUAUAGCGAUAAAAGUGUCAUUGCCUUAUAGUGCUGAAACAACUUUAUUUUUUUUUCAGAAAUGGACAAAAAUACACAGAUUUAUUCAGAAUGUCAUACCGAUGAAGAUCACAUAAAAAUAUUUGGAAAAAUCAGAACUAUGGAUUGCAAUAUGGGACAACAUCCCUAAUGCGCCUCGAAAUGAGGAACUCAAAAGUCACGUGUAAAGAAAAAAUCUCUGUGUAGUGAUAUUGGACAUGUUUCUAUUUUUAACAAAUGACUGAACUUAAUUAUUUGUGGUGAUUAGGAAAGUAGAGGAACAUAGAAUAAAUGUGUAAAAACUAUGGAGCUAUUGAAUGUGUUCAAAGUAUUAAAUUUUCAAAGAACUUAUUGUGUUAAAAAGGGGAUAUUUUACCACAAGGAGCCGCAUCACAAAAGGAUGUUCGGGGUUUGCUAAUUUACGGAAAAAGUAAUCUCACUUCGUACCCCGAAAAUUUAACCACAUAUGUGAAAAUGUCACAGCUUCGAAACGAGCUAUCAUACAUAUCCAAGUUUACGAUAUGGACUGAGCUACAGGAAAAAAACGUUACCAUUACCGCCUAUGUAAAAACAAUUAAAGAUAUUGAGCCAUCUAC
rnacentral:lncRNA from 1 species